rnacentral:rRNA from 1 species
AUCGGUCUUGAAUAGGCCAGUAUAGAAUAAGUGUUUAAUUAUACUUAUCGAUUGAAGGCGAAGAGAAAUCAAAUCAUGUGAUUUUGUAGACUAAUAUCAAGUCACAAACGCAACAUGUGCCUGCUCGUAUGCCAUUGAUAGUUAAAUAUCAUGGUGAGCGGAGUAAAGAGAUACUUGAUUGGUACCCGAAAGAUGGUGAACUAUGCUUGGGCAAGUUGAAGCCAGAGGAAACUCUGGUGGAGGAUUGUAGCGAUUCUGACGUGCAAAUCGAUCGUCAGACCUGAGUAUAGGGGCGAAAGACUAAUCGAACCAUCUAGUAGCUGGUUCCUUCCG